GGCCUCUACAUAUUCCUGGUCUAUGCUGUCUAUAACAGCGAGGUGAGGAAUGCCAUCCAGAGGAUGAAGGACAAGAAGAAAGCCCUCUCAUUCACAAACUGCUCUCAUCCCAUCAAUUACUUAUCCAGCCCGAGGAACACGACCUCCUGGGACACAGGGAGGCUGAGUCCUGCCCCCGAGACUGCCCUGCCGAGCCCUGUGCAGAGAGAGCCUCCAGUGAAGAACAUCACCAGCAGAGGUGAGAGCAUCGCUGUUAGCCCAGCCUGGGUGGUCUCAUCAGCAUCAUGGCAGCAUUGCAUUCUCCUGGGGCAAA
rnacentral:lncRNA from 1 species